GGGGUUGCUUGGCUAGCAUAUUUGCCUCUACUUCCUAAGUAGCUCCCUCAACUAACUGAUUUCUCCAUAGAACCUUUACUAAAGCGACCUCUUUAUUUUCUAGUCUAUGAAUCUGAUGAUCAAUGAUAUCAACUGGGACUUUUCAUAAGAGAGACUAUUUUCAAUGCCAAUCCUUUCUAAAGAGGCUACUUAUGCUGGGUCACCAAUGCACUUAUUAAGCAAGGAUACAUGGAAGACUAGAUACACUGAUUCUAUCUCUCCAGGAAAAUCCAACUCAUAGGCUACCUUACCAUAUCGAUAAAGAAUCUUUUAAGUACCGAUAGAAUAGGGACUGAGCUUUCAUUUCUUACCAAACCUCUUCACCAC
rnacentral:lncRNA from 1 species